ACGAACGCUGGCGGCGUGCUUAACACAUGCAAGUCGAACGGAAAGGCCCUGCUUUUGUGGGGUGCUCGAGUGGCGAACGGGUGAGUAACACGUGAGUAACCUGCCCUUGACUUUGGGAUCACUUCAGGAAACUGGGUCUAAUACCGGAUAGGAGCUCCUGCUGCAUGGUGGGGGUUGGAAAGUUUCGGCGGUUGGGGAUGGACUCGCGGCUUAUCAGCUUGUUGGUGGGGUAGUGGCUUACCAAGGCUUUGACGGGUAGCCGGCCUGAGAGGGUGACCGGCGACAUUGGGACUGAGAUACGGCCCAGACUCCUACGGGAGGCAGCAGUGGGGAAUAUUGCACAAUGGGCGGAAGCCUGAUGCAGCAACGCCGCGUGCGGGAUGACGGCCUUCGGGUUGUAAACCGCUUUCGCCUGUGACGAAGCGUGAGUGACGGUAAUGGGUAAAGAAGCACCGGCUAACUACGUG
rnacentral:rRNA from 1 species